CUGGCACAGACCUGCUCUGGGAAGGCUUUCCCAGCAGCUGGGGUCUGUUAGAAAUGAUUUGCAGAGUGGCUGUAGUGCAAGGGAGUGUGACUCCUCCCCGAGUGGAGAAUCUCACAUUUAGUUCAUAAUCACAUAAAAUCUGUUCUGAAAUGAGCUUAGGAGUGCCUGAGGAUUUAUGUCCUGUCCACUUCCCAGGACAAUGGAGCACAGAUCUAUCUCUCAGAGCAUUCCUUACCGAGACAGUCUGUGAUUGAAGAGGAGAGUGAGAGAAACUUGCAUGCCUGGAAAACUCCUAAAGUCACUCAUGAUCAGUAGCUGUAAGGCUGGUCCCUUUGAAGCAGCAGCAGUGUCAGCAGCAGUGGCAGCAGCAGUGUCAGCAGCAGCAGCAGAAGCAGCAGCAGCAGCAGCAGCAGCACCAGUGUCAGCAGCAGCAGCAGCAGCAGCAGAAGCAGCAGCAGCAGAAGCAGCAGCAGCAGCAGCAGCAGCAGCAGCAGCAGAAGCAGCAGCAGCAGCAGCAGUGUCAGCAGCAGCAGCAGCAGCAGCAGCAGCAGCAGCAGCAGCAGCAGCAGCAGCAGCAGCAGCAGCAGCAGUGGCAGCAGCAGCAGCAGCAGCAGCAGUGGCAGCAGCAGCAGCAGCAGUGUCAGCAGCAGUGGCAGCAGCAGCAGCAGUGUCAGCAGCAGCAGCAGCAGAAGCAGCAGCAGCAGCAGCAGCAGCAGCAGUAGCAGUGGCAGCAGCAGCAGCAGCAGCAGCAGCAGCAGCACCAGCACCAGCACCAGCACUAGCACCAGCACCAGCAGCACCAGCAUCACCAGCACAGCAGCAGCAGCACCUGCAGCACCAGCAUCACCACCAGCAGCAUCAGUGGCAGCACCAGCACCAGCAGCACCAGCAGCACCAGCAGAACCAGCAGCAGCACUGCCACCAGUGCGAGCAGCAGCAGCACCAGCACCGCCAGCGCCAGCAGUAGCACCAGGGGCAGGAUCAGCACCAGCAGCACCAGCAGCAGCACCAGCCAUAGCAUCAGCAGCAGCACCAGGGGCUGGACAAGCACCAGCAGNNNNNNNNNNNNNNNNNNNNUGUCCCUUGCAGGUGAGUUUGGGAAGGUUUGGCAGAGGGGCCACCAGCAGCAGCAGCAGCAGCAGCAGCAGAAGCAGCAGCAGCAGCAGCAGCAGCAGCAGCAGUGGCAGCAGCAGCAGCAGCAGCAGCAGCAGCGGCAGCAGCAGCAGCAGCAGUAUCAGCAGCAGCAGCAGCAGUGUCAGCAGCAGCAGCAGCAGCAGCAGCAGCAGCAGCAGCAGGGCCCUGCACACAGUGUACGUGUGAAAACACCAGCCCUGAGUGCAGGGACACCACCAGAGCCUGGUUAAAGGGAGACCUUGGGAAUUCAGUCCUUGCUAAACUUCUCCUAAGUGUAAAAUCCGUCUGUUAAACACAAGAUAAGAGAUAUCUUGGAAGAAACCCCAUGAGCAUGAAGGCAGGUUUCUGUGUGCUAGGUGAGCCUCAGGUGGACAGAGCAGCAGGGGAGGGGAGCACUGGAGCUGGCAGUGGCAGCUGGAAAUAGAGCUGGAAAUGGAGCUGCAGUGGAGCUGGAAAUAGAGCUGGAAAUGGAGCUGCAGUGGAGCUGGAAAUGGAGCUGGAAUUGGAGCUGCAGUGGAGCUGGAAAUGGAGCUGCACUGGGGCUGCACUGGAGUUGUAAAUGGAGCUGCACGGGGGCUGCACUGGAGCUGGCAGUGGAGCUAUCAGGAGCUGCUGGGGCACCCAAUCCCCAGCCCAGCCCCAUUCCCAAGGAAGGCAGAAGAGCUGGUGGGAGCAGCAACACUCAGGGCAGCAGCCCUCUCCCAGUGACUGAUAGGGCCAAGGAGCUACGAGAUCCUCUGAACACUCCAGAGAAGAUCCUUCACCUUGUAAUUUUUUAUUUUUAACAUCUUCAGGAGACUCAGCAUUAUUUCCUUCAUGGUCACUGCUGAGCACUACAUAAAUCCACAUCCGCCUGUGAUUAAUGGCUCUUUAGUACCAAAGGAAGGGGUUAGCUAAAACUUUUAAUCACUGUCAAACUUCAUCAUUUUCCCACUUUCUUUUCCUGUCUCCUGUGAAGCUUCUUCAUGGCAAAACCUAAUGAAAGCUGCCACUACAUACUGGAUGGACUUGGAAUGAACUUCAGAUGAUACAUGUCAUACCUACGCCACCCUUUCCAUGUAUCUGCUGAAAACCAAGUGUCGCAGGCCUGUGAAUAUUUUAAAAGCAUGAAAAAUCAGGGUCUGCCUGUUUCUGUUAAUUGACUGGGUGAAAAAAUACAGGAAUAGAAAUUCAAUAGCGGCCUAAUGGCACAGGCAGUGAAGGUCAUCUUCUUCCUCUGACUGCACUGACUUGGUUCCUGGCUCACACAGCAUUUGAUGUCUCCUUCAGCUCGAUCUUCACUCGCUCCUGUGUGGGAAUUGCCCCAGGAUGGAGUUUAGGUUUCAUAAAGCAUGAAAAUGCAAGAAAUUACAGCGAGACCCGGGACUGAGCUUUCACAGAGCAGCUGAUCAUCCAUCCCUGGAGGUCAGCAAGAAGCAGCUCCAGACACAGCCUCGGGCACAGCCCUGCCAUUCCAGGCUGGAGAGAGCCCUGUGAGCCCCGGGCCACCCUGCCAGGGCCACCAGGGCAGAGGGCAGCAGCCACCCCGGGCCGGCACAGCCUCGCGUGCGAUGCCGCUGCAGAUCCUCAAACACGUCCAGGCCCGGAUUUGUCCUGCCUGCCAUCAGACAGCCUUGUGGCUGGGAUGCCAGGAUCACCCCUGGGCCCUCAGCAGGGAGAGCUGUGUGCAGCCAGCAGCUCAGCGAGGCUUGUUGUGCUGCUGUGCCCAGUGAUGUGCACAGCACCAGGAUGCCAGAGACAGGCGGUGCCUGAGCACUCACAGGGGCUUCUGCCUUUGAAUCCCCCUGGCUUUCAGCCCUCAUCUUCCACCUGGCUGUUCAGAGACAUGAGAUGGGGCUGUUAUUCCCUUCACCUUUCCCAUGCCAUCCAAAGCUGUGCUCAGGGAAGCCAAAGAUGCUGCAGCACAAUUAUUUCAUUUGGAGCUCGGCCAGGCCGAGCCCGCUGAUGGGGUCUCUCGUUCUCACUAACAAAUAACUGGCAAUCAGCUUUCAAGGGAAGGCUGUGUACAAAGGUUGUUGCUUUUUAGCAGUUUUGUUGUGAAAUUUCUGAUUCCAGAUUUAAUUUUUGCAGUUUCCAUCACUGGCCUUGAACUCAUUUUGAGGGAGGGAGCUGGAAAACCAUGACUCUGUUAUGUGCUCCACAUUGAACUUCUUCUCUAAAUAAUUCCUUUUUGAUUAAAUGGCAAGGGUGGAAUGUUUACAAAGUCUUGUGAAGCUUCUAUGGUUUUGGGGAUUUUUUAAACCAUAGAUAAAGACAUGAUUUCUAUCACUGAGAAAAUAUUUGCUAAAACCCAAAUCUGUGACCUCAAAUUUCCCAAACCUCACACAAUUCUUCACUUUCCAAAGCCUGUCUGAUUGACUGGAAGUGGAAAGCCAUUCUUCUAAAACUUUGUAAUGACUCUAAUAGCAUUUUAAUAUUUGAUAUGCUUUAAAAUUGCAGAGAAAGUAUUGACAUCGAUGCUGAGCCAUCCUUCACAAUACAUGAACUGCCCUACAGGAGCAUUUGUAUGGUGACAAUGAGAGCUGUAAUUACCCAUGAUCCGAGAUGGACAGUAGUGACAUGUUUUAUUCAAAAGACGUGAAUCAUUAGUGCCUUUGCAACAGCCUGGAAAGAAUGAGAAUAUUUAUUAACUGUACAAGACUAAUGACUGCUCUCACAGGCUUUCAUUGGUGCCAGCUCAGGUCAAAUCUGUGUAUGGACUGUGAGGAGACACAGCCAGUCAUAAAUACGGAGAAAGCUACAAUAAAACCUAGAACAGUGUAUCA
ensembl:lncRNA